CACGACAACAGACGCCACAGACGUCCUCCCGAUCAGUAACAUGACUCUGACCUGCGUCCUCAUCUGGACUCUCCUCUGCUGCUGCUUCACAGAGUCCAGAGGCCAAGUCACAGUGACUCAGCCUGGAGCAGUGAGAUCAGCUGUGGGAAACUCCGCCACCAUCUCAUGCAGAACCAGUCAGAAUGUUCAUGUUUGGAGUAACUACCACUAUUUAGCCUGGUACCAACAGAGAGAUGGAGAAACUCCUAAACUGCUCAUUUACUUGGCUUCCACUCGAGCAUCAGGGAUUCAAGGUCGUUUUACAGGCAGUGGAUCAAACUCUGACUUCACUCUGACCAUCAGUGGAGUCCAGGCUGAAGAUGCUGCAGUUUACUACUGUCAGAGUUUUCAUGUUAUCAACAGUCAAUACGUGUUCACACAGUGAAAAAGCGUCGUACAAAAACCUCCGUCAGUCAGAAUGAACACAGUGAAGUGAGACUGACACAGUUCACUGAGGACACACACACACACACACACACACACACAC